UCAUCAGGUAGGAUAAUCCUUACCUGUUCCUCUAUGCAGAGGGCAGAUAGAACAUGAUGAUUUGAGUUGACAUGAUUUGUGAUUAACGUCUCUGCGUGAUUAAGGCUUGCAUAGCCCUAAUUGCUCCUAUCUGAU